rnacentral:rRNA from 1 species
UAGGGAAUCUUCGGCAAUGGACGAAAGUCUGACCGAGCAACGCCGCGUGAGUGAAGAAGGUUUUCGGAUCGUAAAACUCUGUUGUUAGAGAAGAACAAGGAUGAGAGUAACUGUUCAUCCCUUGACGGUAUCUAACCAGAAAGCCACGGCUAACUCGUUCCAG